UUUAGAUUGACGAGGUCGUAGAAGUCCUGUGCGCAGAAAAAAAGCUUUAAACAGUGCAUCCUUAAGCUCUGCUUCCUGCAAUGAGUAAAACUUCAUCUGUUUCCCGAACUACAACACCCACCUUGAUCUCAACGCAAUCAUAGUAAUAGGUUAAAAUGAAGAACAAGGUAAGGU